rnacentral:rRNA from 1 species
AGAGUUUGAUCCUGGCUCAGGACGAACGCUGGCAGCGUGCCUAAUGAAUGCGAGUCGUGCGAGAACCAGACGAAAGAUUCCUUCGGGAUGAUUUGGUCUGGGGAGAGCGGCAAACAGGUGAGUAACACGUGGGUAACCUGCCCUUCAGACGGGGAUAACCUGCCGAAAGGCGGACUAAUACCCGAUGGUGAGAUACCGACAUAAGUUGGUUUCUCUAAAGGCUCCGGCGCUGAAGGAUGGGCCCGCGGCCGAUUAGCUAGUUGGUGAGAUAACAGCUCACCAAGGCAACAAUCGGUAGCCGGUCUGAGAGGAUGGUCGGCCACACUGGGACUGAGACAUGGUCCAGACUCCUACGGGAGUUAGCAUCAGGGAAUCUUGCACAAUGGGCGAAAGCCUGAUGCAGCGACGCUGCGUGGGUGAUGAAGGCCUGCGGGUCGUAAAACCCUGUCAGGAGGGAAGAAAACUGCUUUGGCAGUCUGACAGUACCUCCUAAGAAAGCCCCGGCUAAUUACGUGCCAGCAGCCGCGGUAAAACGUAAGGGGCGAGCGUUGUCCGGAAUUACUGGGCGUAUAGAGCACGUAGGCGGCUGGGUAAGCGAUAGGUGAAAUCCCAUGGCUCAACCAUGGAAUGGCUUGUUGAACUGCUCAGCUCGAGCACGGGAGAGGGUAGUGGAAUUCCUGGUGUAGCGGUGGAACGCGUAUAUAUCAGGAGGAACACCGGUGGCGAAGGCUGCUACCUGGAACGUUGCUGACGCUGAGGUGCGAGAGCUAGGGGAGCAAACAGGAUUAGAUACCCUGGUAGCCCUAGCUGUAAAUGAUGGACACUAGGUGUUGGGGGUUCGACCCCCUCAGUGCUGUUAAGCUAACGCGUUAAGUGUCCCGCCUGGGGAGUACGGUCGCAAGGCUGAAACUCAAA